rnacentral:rRNA from 1 species
AUCAACGCUGGCGGCGCGCUUAACACAUGCAAGUCGCACGAGAAAGUGGAGCAAUCCAUGAGUACAAGUAGCGUCGGGUGAGUACACGUGGAUCAUCUACCUUCUAGUGGGGAAUACCCCUGGGGAACUGGGGACAAUACCGCAUAAGCUCGUAAGAGGAAGCAGCAAUGCGCUGGAAGAGGAGUCCUGCGGCUGAUUAGCUAGUUGGCGGGGUAAUGGCCACAGGCGAAGAUCGGUAGCCGGCCUGAGAGGCACACGGCCACACUGGCACUGAAACACGGGCCAGACCUCCUACGGGAAGGCAGCAGUGGGGAAUCUUGCACAAUGGAGGAGACUCUGAUGCAGCGACGCCGCGUGAGCGAUGAAGCCCUUCGGGGUGUAAAGCUCUUCGACGGGAACGAUAAUGACGGUACCCGAAGAUAGAAGCUGCGGCUAACUACGUGCCAGCAGCCGCGGUAAUACGUAGGCAGCAAGCGUUGUUCGGAAUUACUGGGCGUAAAGAGUGUGUAGGCUGUGUUCUAGUUUGUCGUGAAAUCUCCGCUUAACUGGAGGGUUGCUGGCGAAAACUGGAAUGCUAGAGAUGGAGAGGUAAGCGGAAUUCCUGUUGUAGCGGUGAAAUGCGUAGAUAUCAGGAGAACACCUGUGGUUGUAGACAGCUUACUGGACCAUUUCUGACGCUGAGAGACACAAAGCGUGGGUAGAAAACAGGAUUAGAUACCCUGGUAGUCCACGCCCUAAACGAUGCAUACUUGGUUGUGAGCGAUUCAUUCGUUCGUGCCGGAAGCUAAACGCGUUAAGUAUGCCGCCUGGGGAGUACGGUCGCAAGGCUGAAACUCAAAGGAUUGACGGGGGCCCGCACAAGCGGUGGAGCAUGUGGGUUCAUUCGACCGCACGCGAAGAACCUACCUGGGCUCGAACGGCUAUGACAAUCCUUGGAAACAGGGACUUCUCGCAAGAGACUGUAGUCGAGGUGCUGCAUUGGCUGUCGUCAGCUCGUGUCGUGAGAUGUUGGGUUAAGUCCCGCAACGAGCGCAAGCAACCCUUGUCCUGUGAUUGCCAUCAUUUAGUUGGAACUCUCAGGAGACCGCCAGCGAUAAGCUGGAGAAGGUGGCGAUGAUGUCAAGUCAUCAUGGCCUUUAUGUCCAGGGCUACACACGUGCUACAAUGGCCGGUACAUAAGCGCUGCAAACUCGCAAGAGGGAGCUAAUCGCAAAACACCGGUCUCAGUUCGGAUCGCAGGCUGCAACUCGCCUGCGUGAAGCUGGAAUCGCUAGUAAUGCCGUAUCAGAACGAUGGCGUGAAUACGUUCCCGGGCCUUGUACACACCGGCCCGUCACAUCACGAAAGUGGAUUGUACUAGAAGUCCUAAUCAAACAGGCCCAAGGUAUGAUUCAUGGAUUGGGGUG